rnacentral:rRNA from 1 species
AGCGAACGCUGGCGGCAGGCUUAACACAUGCAAGUCGAACGCCCCGCAAGGGGAGUGGCAGACGGGCGAGGAACACGUGGGAACGUACCCUUCGGUUCGGAAUAACUCAGGGAAACUUGUGAUACUACCGGACACGUCCGAAAGGAGAAAGAUUUAUCGCCGAAGGAGCGGGCCGCGUCUGAUUAGCUUGUUGGUGAGGUAACGGCUCACCAAGGCGACGAUCAGUAGCUGGUCUGGGAAGAUGGUCAGCCACACUGGGACUGAGACACGGCCCAGACUCCUACGGGAGGGAGCAGUGGGGAAUAUUGGACAAUGGGGGCAUCCCUGAUCCAGUCAUGCUGCGUGAGUGAUGAAUGCCUUAGGAUUGUAAAGCUCUGUUGUCCGGGAAGGUAAUGACGGUACCGGAAGAAUAAGCCCCGGCUAACUUCGUGCCAGCAGCCGCAGUAA